rnacentral:rRNA from 1 species
GACGAACGCUGGCGGCGUGCUUAACACAUGCAAGUCGAACGGUGAAGGGAUCAGCUUGCUGGUUCUGGAUGAGUGGCGCACGGGUGAGUAACACGUGAGUAACCUGCCCCCUUCUUCUGGAUAACCUCAUGAAAGUGUGGCUAAUACGGGAUAUUCUGCGCCUGCUGCAUGGUGGGUGUGGGAAUGCUAUUGUUUCGGUGGGGGAUGGGCUGGCGGCCUAUCAGCUUGUUGGUGGGGUGAUGGCCUACCAAGGCGGCGACGGGUAGCCGGCCUGAGAGGGGGGACGGUGACACUGGGACUGAGGCACGGCCCAGACGGGUACGGGAGGCAGGGGUGGGGAAUAAUGCGCAGUGGGCGCGAGCCUGAUGCGGCGACGCCGCGUGGGGGAUGGUGGCCUUCGGGUUGUGAACCUCUUUCGCAAGAGAAGCGGGCCUGUCCCUUGUGGGUGGGUUGACGGUAGCUGAAUAAGAAGCGCCGGCUAACUACGUG